rnacentral:rRNA from 1 species
UCCUACGGGAGGCAGCAGUGAGGAAUAUUGGUCAAUGGACGGAAGUCUGAACCAGCCAAGUAGCGUGCAGGAUGACGGCCCUAUGGGUUGUAAACUGCUUUUAUAUAGGGAUAAAGUCGGGGACGUGUCCCCGUUUGUAGGUACUAUAUGAAUAAGGACCGGCUAAUUCCGUGCCAACAGCCGCGGUAAUACGGAAGGUCCAGGCGUUAUCCGGAUUUAUUGGGUUUAAAGGGAGCGCAGGCUGAUGAUUAAGCGUGACGUGAAAUGUAGCCGCUCAACGGCUGAACUGCGUCGCGAACUGGUUAUCUUGAGUGAGUUCGAUGUUGGCGGAAUUCGUGGUGUAGCGGUGAAAUGCUUAGAUAUCACGAAGAACUCCGAUUGCGAAGGCAGCCAACAAGGCCUUUACUGACGCUAAAGCUCGAAGGUGCGGGUAUCGAACAGGAUUAGAUACCCUGGUAGUCC